rnacentral:lncRNA from 1 species
UUAUAUGAUAGUAGUGUAUCAUGAGUGCCUCAAAUAAAGAUCAACCAUGAUACUUAGCAUUUAGCUUUUGGAGGAGUGCCUAAUGUAGACAAGAAGGAACUAUUAAAACACUUUUAAAGACAAAGUCCCCACUGACAAGAAAGUGUGAUAGAAAAGAUGAAGAAUAGCAAAGGCAUAAUCAUUUUACCCAAGAUGGGGGGAGUUGGGUUUGUGACCACAAACUCCAAAAGUCCAUUAAUGGGAUGAGUAAGCCUAGGUGGACCUUGUCACAUGGAAAUUAUGUUAGUGGGGAAAGGUGAUUGUUACACUUGCACACACACAACUAUUUGUCUAAAGGCAAAGAAAAAAAAUAGUUAACAAUGUUUGUUACUCCCUUUUAUUCUCAUGUUUCUUUAGAUUUCUCUUUUUCAUAGUGGGAGAGAGAGGAGGCUUAUGAAUUCAAAUAUUGUAAUAAAUAAUAAUGUCCUUAUCUUUAGCCUUACUCCACCCAUAGCACCAAAUUCAAUACAUCCAUGUAAAGUAAAGUCAUGGAAGGUCAUUUCAAAUUCUUCUAUAAUGAAAUGGUUCAUUAUGUGAGAUAUGAUUUUAUAUGUGAAAGGUUUAUGCCUCUUUUUGUGGAUUUGUAAUUGCUUAUCAUGACCCACCAUGCCCUUUCUUGACAAUAUAUACAUGUUAUCACCCCAU